rnacentral:rRNA from 1 species
AUUGAACGCUGGCGGCAGGCCUAACACAUGCAAGUCGAACGAGUGGCGGACGGGUGAGUAAUGUCUGGGAAACUGCCUGAUGGAGGGGGAUAACUACUGGAAACGGUAGCUAAUACCGCAUACCAUCAGAUGUGCCCAGAUGGGAUUAGCUGGUUGGGGUGGUAAAGGCUCACCAAGGCGACUAUCCCUAGCUGGUCUGAGAGGAGGACCAGCAACGCUGUGACUGAGAAACGGACCAGACUCCUACGGGAGGCAGCAGUGGGGAAUAUUGCACAAUGGGCGCAAGCCUGAUGCAGCCAUGCCGCGUGUAUGAAGAAGGCCUUCGGGUUGUAAAGUACUUUCAGCGGGGAAGCGGUACCAGCAGAAUAAGCACCGGCUAAAUCCGUGCCAGCAGCCGAGGUAAUAC